rnacentral:rRNA from 1 species
AGCGAACGCUGGCGGCGUGGCUUAGACAUGCAAGUCGAGCGGAAAGGCCCCGCAAGGGGUACUCGAGCGGCGAACGGGUGAGUAACACGUGGGUGACCUGCCCUCAGCUCUGGGAUAAGCCUGGGAAACCGGGUCUAAUACCGGAUAUGACUCCAUGACGCAUGUUGUGGGGUGGAAAGCCUUGUGCGGCUGAGGAUGGGCCCGCGGCCUAUCAGCUUGUUGGUGGGGUGAUGGCCUACCAAGGCGACGACGGGUAGCCGGCCUGAGAGGGCGACCGGCCACACUGGGACUGAGACACGGCCCAGACUCCUACGGGAGGCAGCAGUGGGGAAUCUUGCGCAAUGGGCGAAAGCCUGACGCAGCGACGCCGCGUGAGGGAUGACGGCCU